UACGUAGGGGGCAAGCGUUGUCCGGAAUCAUUGGGCGUAAAGCGCGUGUAGGCGGCCCGAUAAGUCCGCUGUGAAAGUCCAGGGCUCAACCCUGGAAUGCCGGUGGAUACUGUCGGGCUCGAGUCCGGAAGAGGCGAGUGGAAUUCCUGGUGUAGCGGUGAAAUGCGCAGAUAUCAGGAAGAACACCAAUGGCGAAAGCAGCUCUCUGGGACGGUACUGACGCUGAGACGCGAAAGCGUGGGGGAGCGAACAGG
rnacentral:rRNA from 1 species